rnacentral:tRNA from 1 species
GACCCUGUAGCGCAAUGGAUAGCGCGUUGGACUUCUCAUCUAAAGGUCGUGGGUUCAAAUCCCACCUGGGAUGGCCU